AGGAAGGAGGGACGGAAGAGGGCGGGCGCCGCCCCCCGCCCCGUCUCCGGGCGCUGCUGAUCUCCUUGGGGCUGCGGGCAGAUCCCCGGCUGCCCCCGCCGCGGUGUGGGCCCCUGGCCGGGACCGGGGGAGUGCCUUAGGGGCUCCGGGAGAGCUGUGAGCAGCCAGGUGCUCGGCAGUGCCUCCGGUCCGGGGAGCCCCGCCGGCGCCAAGGGAGCGGGGGAUCGCUCCUCAAGGGAACUUCGGCUCCUGGCAGGCAGCAUGGGGGUCGCCUGGCUUGUCCGCUGGGUUUAGCAUGGAGAAGACGGUCUGGUACCAUUUAGAUGAUCAAUUCCCAAAGACAUGAUCUGGCCUUUCACUCGAUCCUUAGGGGGAAAAAAAUUGGCUAGCCUUAGCUGUGACCUUUUUCCUUCCAUACGAGCAGUGAUUAAUACUGAGGUUUCAUCCAUGCUAAUGCACUCCAAAUUUACUUCAUAUAAAUCUUGUAAUUAUGGACUGUUCCUAACCAAUUAAUGGCGAAGAUCUCUGUUCUCGUUUUUUUUGGCAAUUUGUUAGGGUUUGGGGUUUUUUUUCCACAGCAAUUGAGUCUGCUCUUUCUGCUCACAGCCUUGGAGCAGUAACUCCAGAGCCAUUUCAUAGCAUAAUCUGUUCAGGAGAAUGCUCUGUUUCCUAUCUGACUGAUUUUUUUUUUCUCCCUGAUCCAGUUGAUGUGCUCCCUCAGCUACUGCUCUAGAGGGUUUAAAGCCACUGUGCUGCUCCCUUCUCCCAAGACAAAAUUGGCAAUGUUCUGGCUUAAUUCAUCUUGGUCUUCCAGGCAAGAUUUGUGUCUUGUUAGGCAAGAACUUAAUUUGGCUUUUCUAUUAUCUUUUUUCUUUUCUUCUUUUUAAGACUAAUGGAAGACUAGCAUUUCUAGGAAGAGAGAGGGAUAGAAUCACAUUUCCAUUGCAAAUAGGUAUGCAUUCUUAUGCUUUCAUGCAGCUUAUUUUGGCUUUCCUGUUGGUGCUGCACCUGUGACCUGUGCCAUCCUUUCUUAGGCUUUGGGGUGAAAUCAAGGACACUUCCUUUCAGCCCAGUUUACUAUUCAAGGCUGUUAAAAUAUCUCCCAUCUUAAGGACCCUAGGAGAGCUGGGAAGAAAUCUUUGGAUUUGGUGCAGUUCAAAAUACAGCAACUUUGGCAGUAACUUCUUUUACUAUGAUUAUUUCUCACUGUGGAUUAUGCUGCUGGUGAUGAGAGUGGCCAAGCUCAUGUGUGGCUCUGAGCUGCUUGUGUCUUUCCAGCAGUUCAUUAUUAGACCUCUAGCAGUGGUGCUGGGUCUCAUGACCUGCAUCAAGACUGUUCUGGUACAGGUUCUACUGUUAAAUCUGAAUCCCUCCUGUCAGAGGGAGAAAACCAGCAGAUGCCACAGAGGCCACAUUGCUGGGUUACUGGCAAUGCAGCUGCAUGCCAGUCCCUGUUACACAGUAAAACAUUUGGACUAUCAGAGAGGCUUGGUUCACAGUUAUUUUCUCUCUACAGAGAUAUUUUGGGACACCUUCUGUCCCCUCAGGUCCCCAAAGAAAAUUAAAGGUAUCUUGUACAGCUCCUAAGGUAAGCAAGACUGGUUGUUGGAAGAGUAGUAAUUGUCUCCCUAAGGUGGUGGGAUUCAAGUUGUAGGCUGCAGUGCUGCUUAAGCAAAUCAUGCCUUGGGAUUAGUAGUUUUAUUUGGGAGUAAUGUUGACUGAGGGUGUGAUGAUGGCCUUUAAUUAGCUUCCUUUUAAAUUUCUGAGACAGGCACAUUGUUCAGACAUGCCAUAUUCCCUCUGUUUGUAUGUUGACCAUCCUAAUAAAAUCAUAAUCACUUCUAUGUGUAAAACAUCAUGCAUAUUCUUGGGGAACAUCCGAAAAAUGGGAAACUUCUGGAGUGGUUCCUUUUUCAAAGGGCUGGAAAAGAGGCAUUUUGGAGUCCUUGUCAUACCAAGAAAAUGUCAUGGUGAAAGGCAGCCUGUAGCAUGAAGACGUUGCCUAAAUCCUGGAAGGGCAUUUGUUAUUUUUAUGUUUUGUUGCCAGUAAAUGAAGAGAGAUCGUUGAAAAGGCCAUGUUCAUUCAUGGUGGUAGUUAUAAACCAGCAUGGAUUCUGUGAGGGAGAAACUGUGAAAAUUGCAAGCUGUAGGCAUGCUGUAACUGUCUUGCCAAUGCAGGAGGAAAGUGAGACUGAAGCAGCUGGCCCCACUCUACCUCUAGUUCCCUCAGCCCUGGUAAUUAUCACUGAUGGAAGAAUCCCACAAUAAAAAACUUAUACACAGUUCCAAUGGGAUUUAUACAAGGAAACUAAUUUACUGUACUUUUCUGUAUGCCUUUUGCUGUUAUCUUUGAGGCCAUUUGGAGCAUUCAGUCCUUCCCACUCCUAUGCAUCUUAUAUUAGAUCCAUAUUAGAUCUGCUAUAGGUCAGAAUCACGGCCAGGUGCAUGCUGUCUGUGGUAGGCAUUGGUACUUUGCUGCUGGGAGCAGGCCAAUUUGAUUAAUACUGAGAAAGAUUCUUUCAAACACAGGUAAUCAACCCAAGCCUUAAGUGUGCAUCAGUCUCUUGAUGUGAGAGUCAUAAUGGCUGGUACUGCCAUCAGAGUUGCAUUUAUAAAUCUAUGUGGGAGAAUGGCUGCCAAGGAGCAAACCCCAGUGAUAUUAGUGCUUAUGCUCAUUACUGACAGAGCUGACACAGCUGAGCAGAGAGACAGAGUGAGGCUGCCACUGAAAAUAGAUGCAUCUUUAAUUUUUUUUUUUUAAUAUGUUGGGCAAAGUGAUGCCCCAUGCACAGUCCAAAUGAGCCAGUUCUACCUUUUCUUCUGAGUCAAGAUGAAUGAUUUCAGAAAGAUUCUGGAUGGAGAAGUACUCUUGCUGUCCUCAUGAUGUAAAAGAUUCCACCUGCUUCCAUACAGGUUUGUGUAUCUUGUACAUCCAUGAGGAAGCAUGAGUGUAUAUGUAUGCCUAAGAAUAUUUUGUUUUCUCAUCUUCAGAGAAUAGGUGUUGCCCAUUUGGGAACAAAUAAGGUAGUACUGUAGGUGCAGAUUUACUUUACAUUUGAAUGCUAAGUCAAUAAACUGAAAAUCAAAUAUAAGUGUAAAAAUAUACCUAAACCCCCUGCCCCCCGUCCUAAACUUCAGGCUUGAAUGGAAGUUGCUGCAUUAAUCGCCUUCAAGCAGGUCUGAGAACUAAAACUGAUAGUUUAACUUUUUUUUUUUAAAUCGUCUUUCUCCUCCAUAUGGAAUUAUUUUCACAAAGAAAAUUUCCAGAUCUUAAUCAGUCCAGGUCCUAAUGAUAUAGGGAAAUUUUUUUGAGCUUCCUUUAGAAUAUAGUUCUGUAGCCUUUUCAAUUGUCAUUAAACGCUUCCCCCCGUAUUUAAGUCAUGUUUUCCAUUUCCUUAAUUUAAUUCUACUGCAUAUCAUUAAAACAUAUUUUUUUAAUACAGCAUUUGAGUUUCAAUUUAUCUUUUAAUAUUUGUGUCUUCUUUUUUUUGGCCAUGUUCUCUACAUUCAACUCACUUGCUUUUUGAUACAAAUAAAAUGUUAUUGCUUACUUGUCUUGUAUACAUAACAGCAUAUAUUGUUGGGGGGUUUUGUUUUGUCCUGUACGGUUUUUUUACUAGUUUCAAUGCAGGGGGGUUUGACCCUAAUGUUUUUUUCCCUCUUCCUGAAAUUCUUACCAAAGGUAAGAUUGGUCUUAUAAUUCAGGUAACCUAGGUAAACAGAAGACUUUUUUAAUGUAUAUUCUAGGACUUGAAUGAGGAUGCCUAUUUUUCCAAGAUUAGCAGAGGCAACUGCCUUUCCUUUGAAACUAGCACCUUUUAGAAGCCUGCGCAUUGGGUUCCCUAGCACCAGAACAGAGUGAAAGUACAUUUCUCUGCAGAACAAUGACCUCUAAAAGAAGUGGCAUUCUGGCUUCUCUUGGCCCAUCUUCAAAGACGGCCUCUUUUUCAUUGUCCAUCCAUUGGGAAACCCAGAGGAUAGCCUUUGAAGCUUCCUAGGGAUUUUUGUAUUCCCCACUACCCCUCCAGUCAUCCAAAUCCCUUGCUGUUUCCUGGCUUGGGAGUUGGAACCACAGUGAAGAACAGUGUACCGUCCAGAGGAAGAACAGUUAAUGUGGAAAUGCAAGGAAAUGGGUACAACAGGAGUUUGAUAGAGCUUGUUUUCUAACUGUGCAGACUGAAUGCAGGUACUGGGAGACAGAACUUCAUGACUACUUAGAUACUUCAAAUAAAGUUAUGAUGGCAGUGUACAGUAUGAUUAUUUUCAUAUAAAAAACCUGAUCUCUUUGAGGUCAUCUGACUGUCAGCAGAAUUUGGUCAGUUAAUGAUGGAGAGGUUGCAAGGCACCUGAAUAGAAGCUAAUAAGUAACUCCUGUUGCCAGAAUAACUCCUGAUUCCAAAGGUUGACAGAUACCAUUUGAACUCUCAUUUCAGAGGUAAAUGACAGCCCUUUAACCCAAUUACAGUCCCGUGUGGCAUAAUUGGACUCAUUUGUGAUCCUUCACCAACUGGCUACUGCAGUUAAUUUAUGAAAAAUGGGACAGUAUUCAUUUUUCAAGGGGAAUUAGAGUCUCUUAUGCUUUAAUUUAUACAUUGUUUAGAAUGCUUCAGACUGUUUCUACCUUAGUACCAAUUUCUCCUUUUCUGCAUCUGCUCAUUGUUUCCUAAUUCCCUUUUACUAUACUGAAAUCUAUUACUUUUGUGUUAAUAUGCUUUACAGUAGUUUUCACUGAGACAUUUGGAGUUUUUACAUUUGUCACAUCAUCCCUCUAAUUAAUACAGCAAAUUUUACCAUAAUGUCAAUUGCUUUGUGGAGUAUAUAACUGUAAUUGUGACCAUCAUCUAAGUCUGUUCCUUAUUGCACUGCUAGUAAUGCAGCAGACCACUGCUACUUGCAUCAAACUUUCCUGUAAUUCAGACACUGUAGUGAAUUCCUUCCCAACUGGCAAUAAGAAAGUCUUACACAGCUCUUUCUCUGCUUGAGUUCUCUGUUUUCUGGAUUGUGAAAUUAUCCUUUGCAUAAUUCAAGAACUGCUUCAUGAUCUCUGUUUGGCAGAAUUUGUUACCCAACAGAUGUCUGGACAGCUAAUGACCUCUGUAAGUACAGCCCUGUGAUUUCUUGCUAAUGAUGGUCCAAGAAUUUUUAAUCUAUUCUGCUACAAGUCAGCACUUGAGCAGCAUGUCACCUCUUAUUAUAAAACAAAAGCAUAAAGUGUGUAUAAAUUUUCUUUUCAGAAUUAUGUCUAGUCAGAAGUGGUAUUUUUCCCUCACUUUCUUCUGAGUCUUUGUUCAUGUAUGUGUACAUGCAAUGCACAGAUGCACAUAGUUCCAUAUUUUUCCUUGGCCAAAAUCAAAGGACAUGAAUGAAAACCCCUGAAAUCAAUCAAAAUAUAGUUUCAGAGAAAAAGUACUCUCAUAAAUACAUGUCAUAACUCACAUUACACACCUUUAAGUUAGGGAAAAGGCAGAUACCUAAAAAGAUCUAUGGUAGCAAAGCCUUUUUGACUGUCACUUUUACACAUAUGGCAAAUGUAGUCUUACAAGAGGAUUUGAAGGCACUGGAGUGAUGUGUUCACAGUAUGAAAUCAUGCUGCAGCUGCACAACCAUUCCUUCUUUCCUCUUCCCCAUUCAGAUCAGGUUCUGCCUAUCCCUGCAUAGGAAAGUUGUCCUGGAUUCUCUUCUGGAUUGUUUUUUUUUUCUGUUCGGUUAUCGGCACUUGUGAGAGGAAAAUUGUCAGGCAGGAUUGUAUCAAAGAGGAGGUAAGAGAGACCCUAACAUCUGGCACUCAUCUCCCAGAGGAGGGAGUCAAGGAAUUGAAUGCUGAUUGAUACAGGUCCAGUCAGACAUCCUGUGGAAAUAUUCUGCAAGCCAGGUGCUGAAGUCCCUAGAACAUAAAUCUGCACAGUGAAGUGCUUGAGAGGAUGGCUUGUGCUUCAAUGUGUGCCACUGUGAGGGAGAGAAAUAAGGCUGCCUGCAUACAAGUGCUCCUCUAGUAGUCAAGGUCCUGGCAGCUGCCAGGGACUCUCUCCACAUAGCUCCUUAAGUGCCAGGAAGUUUGCUUGAUGCCCCACUGGUACCUGCUUCUGCAAUGGAAGAGUUGGUGUGUCCAAACUGCUGGAUUGGAAGGUCCCAAAACCCUGGAGAAAGGUUUAUCAACUGGAUCUACACUGGUAAGGUUCAGAAGCCAAUGCUCUUGUAUUCUAUGCAGAGCUCUUGCAAUUGAUGUAUAGGCAGAUUACUUGGCAAUUUUAGCAUGAAGCCUCUAGGAACCUCUGAGAUGGUACAUGGAUCUGGCUUGGAGAACAGCAUGGAGCAGGAGUAAUUUCCUCAAAAGAGAUUUUACAUCAUCGCUUUUGGGUAAAGAAGAAAACCUAGUUCUGCAGUGCAAAGUUGGACACACAGUUUGGCCUCAGAACCCAAAGAACAAUGUCUAGUCUGUUUUCUGAGCUAGACAGCUGGAGAAGGUACCUGAAUUUCUUGCUACAGUUUUGGUCUUGGUCCCUCUAGCUUUGGCAAAAGGUUUCUUUUUCAGCUUGGUGAGGAUUUUUUUUUUUUUUUUUUGGUUGGUUGGUUGGUUUUUUAUUUGCUUGUUUUGUUGGGGUUUUUUUUUGGGGUUGGUUGGUUUUUUUGGUGGGGGGAGUUUGAGGAUUUUUGUUUAUUUGUUUAAUUUAAGUAGGUGCCUACAUGCAUAUCUACUUCUGGUUUUCUUCAGACAGAGAAACCUGUUUCUAACACUCAUUCAGUACAGUUGAAAGAAUCUUUACAUGUUCUUAAUUACUACCCGUCCUCUUCUCCAGUGUCUUCUCAUUUGAACACUUUGGGAGAUAUGGCCAAUUCUUAUUAUUUCUUGUCAUGGUCACUGGAAAAUAACUUGCCUUAGUUCCCUCCUGUUACUGGGAACUGAUCUAACAUGCCAGACAAGUCAUUUUGAUUUCAAGAGCAUCGCUUGACUAUUAUGGAGUUUUUGGAGCACCUUUAUCUUUUGAUACUGAUACCUGGUUUAGAGCCUCUGUGUGAAAAUUGUUCAGUGCUCAUAUUAAGCAUACAAUACAGAGGCUAUUCUGGGGCUCAUUAGUAUGAAUUUUGUGGGCUAAUAAAAACUACUGAGAGUGUAACUUUUUUCUCUCCUCUUUUCCAGAUGGAGACUCACAGGCUUUCUUUGUCUUCCCAUUUGGAAUUUCCUUGUGCACUUUCAGAGCUACAAGCUGUACACUCGUCAGUUCCUUAGUCUUCACAGAAGUAUUUCUACUAUUUUGUCAGAUGAUAUUUUUAUACAAGGAGGUCACUGAGUUACAGAUGAGGACACGACUGAAUAAUUGGUUUUGCCCUCCAAAUACAUGUGACCUCUUGUCUCUAGAGCAUUUCCCCUUUUACAAUAAAGUGUAUUUCUCCCACUUUCAUGAAUUUUAACAUUUGGUGGAUGUCCUACAGUGGGGAGUGCUUUUACACCCACUCCUGUCCCAGAAGUCUCCCUAAAGCAGCUAAACUUGACUCAGAUAUGGUUCUCUCUUCAAAAUCAAAGGGCACUCUGUAGAUUGUGACAGUAAACAUAUGGGCCUACUACAAUGCAAGAUGUUCAAAGCAAUCAGACAUUCUGGCUGCAAUCUAUCUAGAGUAAAAAUUAUCAGGAGUGGCCAGGAAGUAAUCAGGAUCAAAUGCUCUACAACACCAUCCAUGAUAAUGUCCAUCUAAAUGUGGCAUUACUGGGAUGUCUAUAUGUGCUCACAGGCUGAGGAACCUCUCACCAUAGUGAUGGCCAGAAAUGGUGACUUGCCUGCUAAAGAGAAGGUAGCACAUAAUGUUGGCACAGAAUAAGACAUGCAAAGGUUUGAUUAGACAAUCUGGGAUUAUUUUUUAACUCAAAAUGGCCCUGCAGCAGUGAGUCAUAAAUCCCUGUAUACACUGAAACUUCUGCAAUUUUGCUCUCAAGCUGCUUCUUGGGACUUCUUUGCAGAAAUAAUUUUCUACAGGAGGGAUGAGUUCAGCUGCCCUCCUUUAGGAGCCACAAGCUUUUAAAGCAGUCUUUUGUCACAGGUUGGAGUUGAGAAAACUGGCAGCUUAGCAAAGAUUCCACCUAUUUUUUAGGGCCUCAGAUGCUUUGUACAAUAUGGAGCUUUUCACAUAAUUGCAGUAAGGGGUAAAAAUGGCUUGACUUCAAGAAAACUUCCCAGCUCCAAAAACCUUCUAUUAAAAUGUAUAUAUUAAAAUUAUGCCAGAGCUUUGUUAGCAGUAGCAUUGCUAGGAUCUUUUAGCCAUAAGUUGUAUCAGACUUCUUGUAUUUUUUAAUUAUUCCUUCAUUCCUUCUUGAAAGGUAUUUUCAAUAUUAACAAGCAAUAAAUAUUUUUAUAUUUUUAAUUUUAGUUUAUAUUUUAAUAGUAGUUUUCUUGGUUUUCUCGGUUUUCUCUUUGUACACUCAGAUUAUAGAAUCACAGAAUGGUUUGGGUUUGAAGGGACCUUAAAGAUCACUGAGUUCCAACCCUCCUGCCACGGGCAGGGACACCCUCCACUACACCAGGUUGCUCAGAGCCACAUCCAUCCUGAUCUUGAACACUUCCAGGGAUGGAGCAACAUGUUUGUGCCUGAACAACAUGCUGCCUUUAUAUAUUGAAAGACUGCAAUGUUUCCCUGGCACCUUCUCUUCUCCAGGCUGAACAGCUCCCAGCUGUCUCUGCCUUUCCUCAUAGGAGAGGUGUUCCAGCCCUCUGACCAUUUUUGUGGUUCUCCUCUGGACCAGCUUUAAGAGGUCCAUGUCCUUCCUGUGCUGGGGAUGGCAAAGCUGGAUGCAGCACUCCAGGUGGGGUCUCACAAGGGCAGAGCAGAAUCACCUCCCUGCACCUGCUGGCCACACUACUCUUGUUGCAGCUCUGGUCUUCUGGGCUGUGAGUGCACAUGGCUGUGUCAUACCCAAUUUUCCACUCACCAGUAUUCCCAAGAUCUCUGCAAGACUGCUCUCCAUCCAUUUAUCCUCUGGCUUGUAUUGGUAAUACACUGAUCUGGCUACAGGACCUUGCACUUGGCUUUCUUGAACUUUGUGAAGUUUCAGAUGGUUGAAAGCAUUUUGUCAAUAUAACAACAUCUACUGUAGACCCAUGUGUAAUAAAAGUGAGAAAAUUUUAAAAAAAAACCCAAAAGCCAAAUGUACAAAAAUUAUUGUAAGAAGUUGUUCCUUGAUAUUCCCUGGAUAUGUUCUUAAUUGCACACUUUAGAUGGUAGAAAAGGAAAUACUUCAAAGCUUUCAUAUAGUUCAUGCAUAAUGUAAGACAAAUUUAUUUACUUUUCAUGCAGGUUACAUAGGUGAUUUCAAUGCAUUUUCCAGAUACAAAAUUGUGUUUGGUGAUGAUACUUUAUGAUUCUUCAAUAUCACAGAGGGAAGAUUUAGGAAAGAAAAAAAAAAUGUUUAAAGAUGUUUACGUCUUUAGUCCUUAGGCCUAGAAAAAAAAAAGAGAAUAAUGAGCUUAGAAGAAUUAGUGGUCAGAAUGUUCUACCAAAAAGACAGUGAAUUAAAUUACAGAGUUUUUUUUAUAGAAAGUUGGGAGCCCAAAAUGUGAGUAACAGUAUAGCAGGAUCAAUGAGGACAAAGAAAACAGCAAUAAGACUGCAUACAAUGCCAGAACUGCUUAUGGGGCAAAAUGUAUGAGCCAGGAGUUCUCAGUUGCAGCCCACACACUGACACAGCAUCAUUUUUUUGUUCUCACAUGUUCACAGUCAGUUACAAAGCCAACAGCACUUGCAUGGCAGCUAAAAAUGGGUAUAUAUUUUCUCGAGAAGGUGCUACACAGUGGAACUGCCAUGUUUAUUUUCUAAUGCUAAUCUUUCUCUCCAUAACAUUGACUCAGAGCAGAUUCAAGCUCUGUUUCUCAUAGAUCCUAAUUUUCUCAAUGGCCACAUAAAUCAAAACUAAUUAAAUUUAGAAAAAAACUGUCACAAUGAGCAUGUAGGGCUUGGUAAUAGAAAUGUGAUAGGUGGUACACUAUUAAUUGUGUGACUGAUAAAGACCUGGCACAAAAUAAAGAGCAGUGAUUAAAUUUGAAGGUGCAUUUCUGUAACAAGUUUCAUAUUUUUAGGCAAGAUGGACAAGUACAUUUUCCACAGAAUAUUUUGGUACUUCAUGAGGUUUGCCUUCCUAUAUAAAGAGCCCAUCUAUAUUUGUUUCCCACAGUCUUCCAAGAAUGAUGUAGCAUCUGAAAUUAAAAAUACCUUUCAGUAACUAUCUUAUGAAGGCUGUCACUGAUGACAAAAUAGGAGAAGAUGAGAAUUUUAAGCAUGCAUUUUUGCAGUUGCAUGAAAAUGCAGGUCUAGAAGAAAUUGUAAAUUGCAUAUAUUGUAAAGCUGGAAAACAUUUAGUUUACAAAUGAACAGAGAAGAAAAGCAUGAGAGAGAGUAAAACACGGUAUUCAAUGACUAUUGAGAGUCAAGUCUACUUGUUGAGAAAUGUUUUUUAGCUAUUUUAUAUGGUUAUCUGUUGUGUAUCUAAGUUCUUUGAUUUUGCAUUGGUGAUUAAGGAAGAGGCCUCAGAAGCCAAAAUCUGGCUUGCUGUCAACAGAGCAAUUUUAAAUUUCAGCACUGAAUCAGCCAAAGGGCAAUUUUGCUUCCACACUAGUUCCCUUCUUGCAGGAUGGCUCAAAAAGCUCAAAAUGGCUCAGAAGGGUAUGGAUAGUUUGGGCCUAGCAACUAAUCACCAUAAACCAGUUUUUUUUUUUUUUCUUUUUAUUAGAGGCCUCUUUUCAUGACUUUUACUCUUAUUACUGUUGUGCACUUUGUAAAAGGCUGUUCUUCAUACCACCCACAAAAAGACCAAUCUGUUUAUUAAAUUGUCCUAUGCCUACUCAGUGGCCCAAGAGCUUCACAGUUUCAGCUGAAAUGUAUGAGAGAUGUUACUUACAUUGCCAGAUCAUGUAAUGGUCAUAAUUAUGCAGAAAAAUACAAUUACACCAAAA